rnacentral:rRNA from 1 species
UACGGAGGAUCCAAGCGUUAUCCGGAAUCAUUGGGUUUAAAGGGUCCGUAGGUGGAUAAUUAAGUCAGAGGUGAAAGUUGUCAGCACUCAACUGUAAAAUUGCCUUUGAUACUGGUUAUCUUGAAUUAUUAUGAAGUAGUUAGAAUAUGUAGUGUAGCGGUGAAAUGCAUAGAUAUUACAUAGAAUACCAAUUGCGAAGG